GAUUUACAAUCGUUUUAAAAAGCAUAAGUAAGUGUCAUAAAACGAUUUACAAGGGAUUUUAGAAGUAUUUGCAUGGUUUACAAUCGUUUUUAAAACAUAAGUAAGUGGCAUAGAAUAAUUUACAAGGGAUUUUAAAAUCUUUUCUAAGGGUUAAACAUGAUUUACAAUCGUUUUUUAAGCAUAAGUAAGUGGAAUAAAAUGAUUUACAAGGGAUUUUAAAAGCUUUUAGAAGGGUUAAACAUGAUUUACAAUCGUUUUUAAAGCAUAAGUAAGUGUCAUAGAAUGAUUUACAAGGAAUUUUAAAAGUGUUUGCAUGGUUUACAAUCGUUUUUAAAGCAUAAGUAAGUGGCAUCGAAUGAUUUAUAAGGGAUUUUAAAAGCUUUUU
rnacentral:sRNA from 1 species